rnacentral:rRNA from 1 species
GACGAACGCUGGCGGCGUGCUUAACACAUGCAAGUCGAACGGAAAGGCCCUGCUUUUGUGGGGUGCUCGAGUGGCGAACGGGUGAGUAACACGUGAGUAACCUGCCCUUGACUUUGGGAUAACUUCAGGAAACUGGGGCUAAUACCGGAUAGGAGCUCCUGCUGCAUGGUGGGGGUUGGAUAGUUUCGGCGGUUGGGGAUGGACUCGCGGCUUAUCAGCUUGUUGGUGGGGUAGUGGCUUACCAAGGCUUUGACGGGUAGCCGGCCUGAGAGGGUGACCGGCCACAUUGGGACUGAGAUACGGCCCAGACUCCUGCGGGAGGCAGCAGUGGGGAAUAGUGCAAAAGGGGCGGAAGCCUGAUGCAGCAACGCCGCGUGCGGGAUGACGGCCUUCGGGUUGUAAACCGCUUUCGCCUGUGACGAAGCGUGAGUGACGGUAAUGGGUAAAGAAGCACCGGCUAACUACGUG